GAACUGGGGAGCGUGGGCGCGUUAAGUUAUAGGGAAAACCCCAAUUCCUGAGACGUGGAUGAGGGCGCAUUCUAGUCUGUGAUUCCGAAACCAGCCAUGAUUCGCUGUGAGCUUCCCACCCCUGUGCUGGAAGGCGCCAAGUUCUGAACACCUGUGGCCUCCUCGUGGCCUCCAGGUCCUCUGCGGGAAACACCCAGCGUCCUUUGUCUGACCAACUCCUACACGUCAAUCACCGGCAAUUCGGACGCCACCUCUUCCAGGAAAUUUCCCUGAAUCUGCAGAAAGUUACUCCUUCCCUGAGGAUGGAUGUCAGUUGCUGGAUUCGUGAACCUUCCCUUUGCCUUCAGUCCCACCAGUCUAUGGUCCAAACAUAAGAUCCUUUAAACUCCCGUAUGAGCCCUCCAGUGGGAGCUUCCGCAUAAGUCAUCUAUGCUGGGUCAGAGGAAACGUUCAGUCCAAGGGCAAGUUCAAGUCCACAGGUGAGGAGGCCAGGAUGCCUGCCUGCAGAGGACAGAGAGCCCCAGGCUGGUAAGAGGGAAAGACCCCUUGAGUGGGACACUUAAGU
rnacentral:lncRNA from 1 species